rnacentral:rRNA from 1 species
CAGCAGCCGCGGGAAUACAGAGGAUGCAAGCGUUAUCCGGAAUGAUUGGGCGUAAAGCGUCUGUAGGUGGCUUUUCAAGUCCGCCGUCAAAUCCCAGGGCUCAACCCUGGACAGGCGGUGGAGACUACCAAGCUGGAGUACGGUAGGGGCAGAGGGAAUUUCCGGUGGAGCGGUGAAAUGCGUUGAGAUCGGAAAGAACACCAACGGCAAAAGCACUCUGCUGGGCCGACACUGACACUGAGAGACGAAAGCUAGGGGAGCAAAUGGGAUUAGAUACCCCCGUAGUCCCUGUCUCUUAUAA